rnacentral:rRNA from 1 species
GCAAGUCGAGCGCGCCCUUCGGGGUGAGCGGCGGACGGGUUAGUAACGCGUGGGAACAUACCCUUUUCUAUGGAAUAGCCUCUGGAAACGGAGAGUAAUACCUUAUACGCCCUUUGGGGGAAAGAUUUAUCGGAAUUGGAUUAGCCCGCGUUAGAUUAGAUAGUUGGUGGGGUAAUGGCCUACCAAGUCUACGAUCUAUAGCUGGUUUGAGAGGAUGAUC